GGCCUAGUGGUGAAAGGAAUCCCACCCACUCUCUAUAAUACGAGCGUAAGUACUAGAGGUUUAGUGGGAGCUCCCGGUUCGAGUCUGGGUUAGGUCA